AAUCUCCUUGAGGUUUGCCAUAAUAUUCUUAUUUUACAAAAUUGAAUUUGAGAACAGUACUAGAAUAGUGGAAUCAUAACUCCAGCACAGUAUACUCUAGCAAGCAGUGAGAGAACUACAGCAUCUGCAAAACUUUUCUUAUGCCAAACAAAAAUUUAAGACCCCCAACUGAUCAUCAUCCAAAAUGAUCUCAGGAAUCAUUGGCAUAAGUUUUCUGAGUUGUUGUUUCUCGUUGAAAAGCUAGCUAGAACUCUAAAAAUUUGAUCAAAAAAUGGCAAUUCAUAAUGGUCAAGAACCCAAUGACCUAUAAAAAAAAUCAACUAUACAAUUGUGCCUAAACAAAUUUGUUAGAGCCGCCUGCGAAUGUCUAGGAGCAUUAUAGAAAUGAUGUCAUACCUCUGCCAAGAAAAGAAAAAGAAAGAUCAAAACUCCAUUACUGUUGAGGUGAGGUUA
rnacentral:misc_RNA from 1 species